rnacentral:rRNA from 1 species
AAAUUGAAGAGUUUGAUCAUGGCUCAGAUUGAACGCUGGCGGCAGGCCUAACACAUGCAAGUCGAACGGUAACAGGAAGCAGCUUGCUGCUUCGCUGACGAGUGGCGGACGGGUGAGUAAUGUCUGGGAAACUGCCUGAUGGAGGGGGAUAACUACUGGAAACGGUGGCUAAUACCGCAUAACGUCGCAAGACCAAAGAGGGGGACCUUCGGGCCUCUUGCCAUCAGAUGUGCCCAGAUGGGAUUAGCUUGUUGGUGAGGUAACGGCUCACCAAGGCGACGAUCCCUAGCUGGUCUGAGAGGAUGACCAGCCACACUGGAACUGAGACACGGUCCAGACUCCUACGGGAGGCAGCAGUGGGGAAUAUUGCACAAUGGGCGCAAGCCUGAUGCAG